rnacentral:rRNA from 1 species
AGUGAACGCUGGCGGUAGGCCUAACACAUGCAAGUCGAACGGCAGCACAGUAAGAGCUUGCUCUUACGGGUGGCGAGUGGCGGACGGGUGAGGAAUACAUCGGAAUCUACUUUUUCGUGGGGGAUAACGUAGGGAAACUUACGCUAAUACCGCAUACGGCCUACGGGGGAAAGCAGGGGAUCUUCGGACCUUGCGCGAUUGAAUGAGCCGAUGUCGGAUUAGCUAGUUGGCGGGGUAAAGGCCCACCAAGGCGACGAUCCGUAGCUGGUCUGAGAGGAUGAUCAGCCACACUGGAACUGAGACACGGUCCAGACUCCUACGGGAGGCAGCAGUGGGGAAUAUUGGGCAAUGGGCGCAAGCCUGAUCCAGCCAUACCGCGUGGGUGAAGAAGGCCUUCGGGUUGUAAAGCCCUUUUGUUGGGAAAGAAAAGCAGCAGGUUAAUACCCCGCUGUUCUGACGGUACCCAAAGAAUAAGCACCGGCUAACUUCGUG